GCGAGAGUGGUGAAAUUGGUAGACACGCCAGACUUAGGAUCUGGUACCGCAAGGUUUGAGGGUUCAAAUCCCUCCCCUCGCA
rnacentral:tRNA from 1 species